GUUUCAUUUAAAAAUCACACUAUUUUGUUCAUGACAGAAGAGUUAAAGGAACAUAUUCCAAAAUAACUGGCUGCAAAUUGAAUAAUUUUAUGCCCCCAAGUUCUUCUAAUCUACAGCUUUUAUUUCAUUUCCCUAUCAUUUCCUUCUCCACAGUUGCUGGAAAUUUCUGUUUUUUCCCCAGCAGAGGGUGCAAAAAUAUUAAACCUUGGAAGCACUGCAGAAAAGGGUAAACUUGAAAACCCUGAAAAAUAGAGGCAAAAAUAUUUGUUAACUGCUCAUGGCAUUGGACUUGAUCAUGAAGAAGGGAAAUGACAAGCACUGGUGCUCCGAGAAAAGAGACAAUUCAAUGGGACUCAAUCAGGAGAUUUUCAAGUACGUUCAACAUAAAACCAUCUUUAUCUCUUUUGGAUACAAACCACAGACAGAAGCACAGGAUUCAGAUGUGUUUAUGCAGGAAGAUUUGCUCCUUGAGACCUCUGCCAUCACUGUCAGAAAAAGCUAUCCUGAGUAAUUGCUGUAUCGUCAGCCAGAUUCUGAGUCAACACAAGUAGUACAGACUGAAUCAAAUUCAAUAAGGAGCCAAGCCCAGCUAGAACCACACUUGAAGUAUUGCUCUCUAACUAAACACAGCUAGAUCAACUCAACCACAGAUAUGUGAGUAUGAAUAAAUGAUUUUUAAGCCAAAAUGUCUAGGGACA
rnacentral:lncRNA from 1 species